GCUAACUGGUUAGAGGGUUCAGGGAAGCAGCAGGAAACAAAGUUGAAUAAAUAGGCACCACACACAGAGCCUUGCAUGUGCUAGGAUGAAGAUGCUGCAUAAGGCCUCUCGUGCCACUUAGAGCUCGAUGGAGCAGGACAGAAGGGUGGCAGAGAGAGGUUAAAGAAGAAAAUGAAGCAGGAAAAUAUGGAAAUCAGAGAGAGAUCAAAAUUGUAUGCUAUGAGCUUUUUUGAAGAAGGCAAGAUCAGAGUUGGAAAGAGAGGAAAGGAUUCAUGGAGAAUAUGAAAGAAGUGGAUGGAAAAAAUGAAAGAAAAAUAGACCCA
rnacentral:lncRNA from 1 species